GACAGGUGCUGCAUGGCUGUCGUCAGCUCGUGUCGUGAGAUGUUUGUUAAGUCCAGCAACGAGCGCAACCCUUAUCUUUAGUUGCCAGCACAUCAUGGUGGGAACUCUAAAGAGACUGCCCGGGUCAACCGGGGAGGAAGGUGGGGGAUGACGUCAAGUCCUCAUGGCCCUUAUGUCCAGGGCUACACACGUGCUACAAUGGUAAGUACAGAAGGCAGCGAACCGGUGACGGGGAGCCAAUCCUUAAAGCUUAUCUCAGUCCGGAUUGGAGUCUGCAACCCGACUCCAUGAAGUUGGAAUCGCUAGUAAUCGCGGAUCAGCAUGCCGCGGUGAAUAUGUUCCCGGGCCUU
rnacentral:rRNA from 1 species